rnacentral:rRNA from 1 species
GUCUACUCUGCUCAAUGAUUAAAGGGGUUAAAUAGCCGCAGUAAUUUGACUGUGCGAAGGUAGCAUAAUCAUUAGUUUUUUAAUUGAAGACCGGAAUGAAGGAGGGGAUGAAAUUUUAACUGUCUCAUUUAUAAAAAUAAAAAUUAAAUUUUAAGUAAAAAUUCUUAAAUAAAUUAAAGGGACGAGAAGACCCUAUAGAAUUUAAAAUAUUAAUUAAAGUUAUUUAAUUUAAUUUAAGUUAAGUAAUUUAAAUUAUUAUUUUUUAUUGGGAGGAUAGUUAAAUUUAAAAAACUUUAAUUUUAAUAUUACAAUAAUGAUUGAUUUAUUGAAUAAAAUUUUAAUUUUUAACAGAAAAAUUACCUUAGGGAUAACAGCGUAAUAUUUUUGGAGAGUUCAUAUUAAUAAAAAUGUUUGCGACCUCGAUGUUGAAUUAAAAUAAAAUUUGAAUGCAGAAGUUCAAUAUUUAA